rnacentral:lncRNA from 1 species
AUGGAGUAAAGGAAAACAGUUCCGGAACGGAAACGAUCACUGUCCGGAGUUUGGUAAAAUAUAGGAACUCAAGGAACACAAUACCAAUAUUUCAUUUUUAAUCAUUUUUUGUCUUUGGUAUUAAUAAACGUUAGGCCUACCUGAUGCAUUGCGUUUCUUUGUUUACAUUGAACAUGACGUCAUAACUUAAAUAACGUCACAAGUAAAAUCCCUAACAACAGAACCAAAAUCGGAAACGUUACGGUAUUUCCGUAUCUUUUUUUUUAACAAAUAUUUAAAAUACAAAAAAAAUAAUUUAAACAAACUUCGUCCCCAUUCACAGGUAAUGCCUGCCUCAUAUUACUUUUACAAAC